rnacentral:rRNA from 1 species
UCCAGGCCCUACGGGGUGCAGCAGGCGCGAAACCUCCUCAAUGUACGACAGUGUGAAGGGGGAAUCCUACGUGCUUAUGCUCAGCAUAGGCUUUUGCAUAGAGUAAACAUCUAUGCGAAUAAAGGGUGGGAAAGACCGGUGCCAGCAGCCGCGGUAACACCGGCGCCCUGAGUGGCAAUCAGAAUUAUUGGGCCUAAAGCGUUCGUAGCCGGAUUUGUAAGUUUUCUUGUGAAAUUAUUCAGCUUAACUGGAUAAAUGGCAGGAAAUACUGCUUAUCUAGGGACCGGGAGGAGUUAGAAGUAUUCUAUGGGGAGCGGUAAAAUGUGAUAAUCCAUGGAAGACUACCUGUGGUGAAGACGUCUAACUAGAACGGAUCCGACGGUGAGGAACGAAGGCUAGGGGAGCAAACCGGAUUAGAUACCCGAGUAGUCCUAGCAGUAAACGCUGUAUGCAAGAUGUUGCGCAUCCUUGUGGUUGCGCAGUAUCGAAGGGAAGCCGUUAAGCAUACCGCCUGGGAAGUACGGUCGCAAGACUGAAACUUAAAGGAAUUGGCGGGGGAGCACCACAAGGGGUGCGGCGUGCGGUUUAAUCUAACUUAACGCAGAAAAUCUCACCAGGGGCGACAGCACGAUGAAAGUCAGUCUAAAGGGCUUACUGGAGAAGCUGAGAGGUAGUGCAUGGCCGUCGUCAGCUCGUGCCGUAAGGUGUCCUGUUAAGUCAGGCAACGAGCGAGACCUAUAUCCACAAUUGCCAGCGGACUCUUCGGAGUGACCGGGAACAUUGUGGGGACUGCCCGUGAAAACGGGAGGAAGGUGUAGGCUACGGUAGGUCUGUAUGCUCCGAAUCUCCUGGGCUACACGCGCGCAACAAUGGUAUGGACAAUGGGACACUACCCCGAGAGGGGACGUUAAUCCUCGAAACCAUGCCCAAGUACAGAUUGUGGGUUGUAACUCACCCACAUGACGCUGGAAUCCCUAGUAAUCAGAAUUCAUUAUAUUCUGGGGAAUAUGUCCCUGCUCCUUGCACUCACCGCCCGUC